rnacentral:lncRNA from 1 species
GACCCAUGAAUUUAUAUAGGGAGUAUGGACGAGUGUAAAUACAUACAUAUAUUAUAUAGAGUCUGAGAGGCUCGACAUUUAUGAGAUAAAAGUUUUAUCGCUUGCGGCAUGCAUUCGAUUUUUCCUUAGAAAUUAAUUUGGGGAAACAUAAAUAUUUUAUUUAUUAUUUUAUUUUUGUCCACUCACUCUAACGUUAUUAAAUGUUUUCCCCUGGGCCCUUCGUUUUAAAUUGCCCAGUCUGCAGAGUUCGGGUUGGAUCUAGUAGGAGACCAGGCAUAGUCACCCGCAUUUCUGCCAGUUUUCGCCAGUAGGUUACCUGUUCAACCUACUCGUGUUUUCUUGCUCCACUUGUGUUUAGUAGCUCUGAAUACUUUAGAAUUUUUGUAUAUUAUGCGAUGUUCAGAAGUGAUAAAUUAAGAGUGUAAUUUGAAAUUUUCGAGUUAGGGUUGUCCAUCUGCAAGGGAGAUUUUCUUAAUCUUUUCAGUAAAUUUUCCUUGGAGGUGGUCCCCGCACGACUUACUCUGGGUUUCAGGGUGAAAUUCAGGGUGGGUCGUGUCAAAGGAAGUCAGUAGUCAUGACUCAUGAGUAUGGCUGGUAUGGCUAGGUAUGGCUAGGCUUGUAUAUAUAUACUUGGUUGUAAC